UACGUAGGUGGCGAGCGUUGUCCGGAAUUACUGGGUGUAAAGCGCGUGUAGGCGGGAGGCCAAGUCUGCGGUGAAAUCGCUCGGCUCAACUGGGCGGGGUCCGUGGAAACUGGUCACCUGGAGGACGGUAGAGGCGAGUGGAAUUCCCGGUGUAGUGGUGAAAUGCGCAGAUAUCGGGAAGAACACCCGUGGCGAAGGCGGUUCUCUGGGGCGGUACUGACGCUGAGACGCGAAAGCGUGGGGAGCGAACAGG
rnacentral:rRNA from 1 species